rnacentral:ncRNA from 1 species
UUCCGGGAGAGUUCCUUACAAAGAAGGACGCCGAAGGGGCAACGUGAAAUCUCUCAGGCAAAAGUACCGGA